ensembl:lncRNA MANBAL mannosidase beta like
CGAGAGAGAGCCGUGCUUAUCGCAGCGGUCUGGCUUUUCCGGCCGGCGUGUCCCCAGCGGCGCCGCUCAGCGGGCCAGGCUGUCGCUCCGCUCAGGGCCUGAAUAAGUUCCCGCGGCGGUCGUUCAAAAAUUACUUCCGGAGGGGAGUUUGAGCCCCCCGGGAGGCGGAGGGCCUCGCCUGGUGCAGCCCUGCGCUGUCGUGCGGAGGCUGGACCAGAACCCAGGGCUCCUCAUGGCCUGGUCCGGGCCUUUCCUCCCACGGGUGGAGCAGUAGGAGAACCCUGAGCUCCAGAUGGCGAGUCAGAAGAGACAUCAGGCAGCCAGCAACUUGGGCCAUGGCCUCUGACCUAGACUUCUCACCUCCGGAGGUGCCCGAGCCCACUUUCCUGGAGAACUUGCUACGGUACGGACUCUUCCUGGGAGCCAUCUUCCAGCUCAUCUGUGUGCUGGCCAUCAUCGUACCCAUUCCCAAGUCCCACGAGGCGCACACUGCAAGUUAUCACUCAGAGGAGGAGAGGACACUAGACAGGAGCACACGGAGCCUGUUCCAGAUUCUUCUCUGACAUGAGCCUGAGUGGCCUGGGCCAAGCUGUGUCCCUUCGCUGGAGUCUACCUUCCUUAUCAGCACAGUAAAGGCCAGGGCUGGAUCUGAGGCCGAACCGUCUGAGCCCAGAAGUGCUGAGGUGACGAGGAAGCCCAAGGCUGCUGUUCCUUCUGUGAACAAGAGGCCCAAGAAAGAGACUAAGAAGAAGCGGUAGAAGAGGAGGCCCGAGGAGCCGGGCAGGCAGGGAGAGGGUCUUGGGGACAGCCCUCCUGGGAAUCUACAUCCUGUUCCCCCCCAUCCCAGGCUCGGGAUCUGAGGAGGCUGUGACGCCCUCGGACCACAGAGAUCUAGACAGUCAUGACAGUCCCUAGGCUCCAGCUCGGCAAUCCAUCACUUCCUCUUCCUUCUGCUUCUGUGACGGUUUAGAGUCAAGGGGACUGAAACUGUGAGCAUAGACUGUAUUAGGUUUGUUCAGAAGCCAGUUCAGCUCACAGAGUCACAUUUUCUUAAUUAGUCAUGUGUCCAUCCUUGAGUCGCCCCCUCCUUGUGGGUUUACACUACAUUUUGGCGUCAUUAUCUAACGCUGACAAGCACACCCUCUCCCCUUAUUUGUGCACUGCAAAUCUCCUGCUAAUCAGUCACUUUUGUUGCUGCUGUGUAGACAGAGCCAGGCCUCACCUGUUUGUUUAGGCCAAGAUGCCAUGGCCACGCAAUGUUAGUGAUCCCACUGGCUGCGACAGCCAGGCCCAGAAAAUGCCUGGCGUGAGAGCCAGCAGACGGCCAGGCCAGGGUAGGCAGUGCCUGCUUCUGCUCCGUCAGGUGCAGGGUAUUUGGCUGAAGGUGUGCAUAUUUCCUGGGCACAAACUUCCUGAGCCUCCGAAAUGGGAGGCUCAUCAAUUUCAGACCAACCUCUUUUCAACCCAUCAUAGCACAUUCAAGGUGUGCCUUUUACUUCUACUUGUACAUCCCCCAUCCCUUCAAUUCUUUAAUUCCCUGACCAGUGAGCGAGUUCCUGGGGGAAGUGUGAAUAAACUGACAUGCAA